rnacentral:tRNA from 2 species
GGGCGGUUAGCUCAGCGGCAGAGCGCCUGCCUUACACGCAGGAUGUCGGCGGUUCGAUCCCGUCACCGCCCACCA